ACAUAUAUACCUGUAACUGUAUAGUCGAUGAAAAAGCAAUGUCUAUGGUAAUCUAUAAUAUUUGAAAUUUAAUGGCAAUCGCUGAAUAAAUUUUAUUUGUCUCAAUUGUCUUAGUUUUGUGUAUUUUAGAAAAAAAAAUCGGAGGAAAGUUUGGCUUUUAUAAAAUCAAAUGUCGAAAUUUACCUGUUACGUGUUUUAUUGAAACUAACGUAUAUUUUUUGCUUUGCAGUGUCUCUGUCAAAUAGCAUUCGUGUGAAUUAACUAUCUGAAAAUGACAUAGUUGGCGCAACGAAAUUUAGUUUAAUUUAAUAAAUUUUUAAAAACCACAUCAACCAACAUCGACCUCAGUUUAGAAACAGUCUUUGAUGGGUUUGAAAAAGUGAUUCCAGAAAGUAUCGACAAAUCCCAGUUUCGAGACGAAUGGCCUGGCAAACUGCAUAAGAUAAACUUGGAAACUGGCGUCAAAAUUGAUGUAUGCACCCCGUUAAUAAACGGAUUUGGUGGAAGACCUGCAGGAUGCGAAGCAGAUAAAUUCGACAAUAUCUGGAUUGCAGAUGUUAGACUCGGACUUCUGAAGUAUUCACCUGAAAAUAACAAGUGUCAAUUGGAAAUUGGAGAAAAUAUAUAUAUAUUUUCUUAAACAAGGUCAAACGACUCAUAAAGCGAUGAAUGAGUCAUUCUUUUUUGUAAACGGGACUGCUAUAAGGGAUAAUAUACUAUUGGUGGCUGAAACAAUGAAGGCGCGCAUUAUAGCAUUUGACAUCGUAUCAAACGGAAAACUGGCGAAUAAACGAGUGUGGGCUGAUUUGCCAGAAGUUGUAUACAAUAAUCCUAUGAAAAUUGGCGGGUCGGAUGGAAUGGAUUUUGAUAAUCGUGGACGACUGCUGGUAACAAAUCAUGGAAGCAGUCACUUUGAAGUUUUUUCAGCAACUGGAGUUUUAGAAGCCAGAAUCAAAUGUCCAUUUUUAAAACCCAGUAAUUUGCAAUUCAAACUGGUAGUCGGACAGAACAUGAUUUUGAUGGAGUUUGGGAGUUCCAGUGGGAAACUGAGGGAAGGCCAAUGAACUUUUUGAAUAAAUAAUAUUAUAUGGGUAAUAUUUGUA